AGGAUCAACGCUGGCGGCGUGCCUCAGACAUGCAAGUCGAACGAUUAAACUUUCCUUCGGGAAAGAUAUAAAGUGGCGCACGGGUGAGUAACACGUAAGUAAUCUACCUUCGAGUGGGGAAUAACAGUCGGAAACGACUGCUAAUACCGCAUAAUGCAGCGGCAUCGCAAGAUGAUAGUUGUUAAAGGAUUUAUUCGCUUUGAAGAGGAGCUUGCGGCAGAUUAGCUAGUUGGUAAGGUAACGGCUUACCAAGGCUACGAUCUAGUAACCGUCUAAGAGGACGGUCGGUCACACUGACACUGAAUAACGGGGUCAGACUACCGUACGGGACGGCAGCAGGUCGGGUAAGUUUGGGGCUAAGUGGGACGAAAGCCUAGACCAGCAACGCCGCGUAGAAGAUAGAGUUAUUCGGUAU
rnacentral:rRNA from 1 species